GGAGGUGAUGAAGGGAUCGAAGAGGUCAUCAUCUGUUGCAAUCCCUCCCGUCAACUGCCGGUUUGUGAUCCGAAGCUUAGGUAACGAUCAUGUAUUAUUGGAGAGACUAUCAUGGGAAAUUGUGGUCUUUCCCACUGUUAUCUAUAUAUUUCAGCAAUUGGAUUGGCUCAA